UCAAACUUUUGAUCCUCCUGUCUCAGUCUACCAGCCUGCUGGGAUUAGACCUGAGCCACCAUGUCUGGCAAGGAAAAUGAUGUAUUUUCCAGUUUAUAGAUGGUGGAGAUUGUUCCCCAAUAUGGAGCACACAGCACUGUGGAAGCAGGAUAAGGGACCUGUGAAGUCCCGCUUAACUCCUGAAUCUCCAGUAAGACGGUAGAGCAACGCUGGUGUGUCCAUCAAGCUCUCUACAGUGUGCAAAACUGUUCUCUGGAGAUUGACUAAAACAUCUAGUUCUGAAGGGUGGUAUUGAUCUCAUUCAUCUGCUGUGAGCAACAGAUGCUUCUACAUGUAAGAUGUUUCUUUAAUUUUACAUCUUCUAAUUAUAUUAAAGGUAUUUUCCCAAAGUUGUUUCUCCUAUGUCUUUUCUUGACCUAUUUUUAUUCUUCAUCUGAAGAAUAAAGGAGGUGUAGAAAGCAGAGGGAAUCCUGAGCCCUUUAAAGAAACAAAGGAGGAGCAGAGUGAAUUGUGCUUAAUGACUGGUAACUUUUAAUAAGUAUUUAAGGCCCCACAUCUCCCCCAACAAGCAG